rnacentral:rRNA from 1 species
AGUGAACGCUGGCGGUAGGCCUAACACAUGCAAGUCGAACGGCAGCACAGUAAGAGCUUGCUCUUACGGGUGGCGAGUGGCGGACGGGUGAGGAAUACAUCGGAAUCUACUUUUUCGUGGGGGAUAACGUAGGGAAACUUACGCUAAUACAGCAUACGACCUACGGGUGAAAGCAGGGGAUCUUCGGACCUUGGGCGAUUGAAUGAGCCGAUGUCGGAUUAGCUAGUUGGCGGGGUAAAGGCCCACCAAGGCGACGAUCCGUAGCUGGUCUGAGAGGAUGAUCAGCCACACUGGAACUGAGACACGGUCCAGACUCCUACGGGAGGCAGCAGUGGGGAAUAUUGGACAAUGGGCGCAAGCCUGAUCCAGCCAUACCGCGUGGGUGAAGAAGGCCUUCGGGUUGUAAAGCCCUUUUGUUGGGAAAGAAAAGCAGCAGGUUAAUACCCCGCUGUUCUGACGGUACCCAAAGAAUAAGCACCGGCUAACUUCGUG